AAUACAUCCAAAUUGAUUUAUAGAGCAGAAAUGUGUUUCACAUUCUAGGCUGAAGUAUUUGAAAUUUUAUUUUUUAUCUGAAACCAAUCUUCUGGGCUGAUAGACAUUUUGAUAACAUCCUGUAUUGAAAUACAUUCUCUGUUGGAAGCAAAGACUUGGGAGUUAUCCUGCCUAAUGAUUCCACCAAAUACAAGCAGCAAGUAUCUCAGAAUAAAAUAGGAGAUGGUAAUGGAUGUUGUCAGAAAUAUCAUGAUAUGUCUGAUAUACUUUCUUGUUUGUAUAACCUCUAGACUAUAUG
rnacentral:lncRNA from 1 species